AUAAACUAGCCAAGCAUACRUCAGUUGCRAGCGUUGGAAGUUCAAGUCUGAUUACCA
rfam:Tobacco vein distorting virus, complete genome